UACCAGCACCCCGAGUGGUCGGGGCGAUUAUUGGGCCUAAAGCAUCCGUAGCCGGUCAUGCAAGUCCUCCGUUAAAUCCAGCCGCUCAACGGUUGGGCUGCGGAGGAUACUACGUGGCUAGGAGGCGGGAGAGGCAAGCGGUACUCAGUGGGUAGGGGUAAAAUCCUUUGAUCCAUUGAAGACCACCAGUGGCGAAGGCGGCUUGCCAGAACGCGCUCGACGGUGAGGGAUGAAAGCUGGGGGAGCAAACCGG
rnacentral:rRNA from 1 species